AUUGAACGCUGGCGGCAGGCCUAACACAUGCAAGUCGAGCGGAGCGGCGGACGGGUGAGUAAUGCCUAGGAAUCUGCCUGGUAGUGGGGGAUAACGUCCGGAAAAGGGCGCUAAUAUCGCAUACUAUCAGAUGAGCCUAGGUCGGAGUAGCUAGUUGGUGGGGUAAAGGCCUACCAAGGCGAAGAUACGUCACUGGUCUGAGAGGAUGAUCAGGCACACUGGAACGGAGACACGGUCCAGACUACUACGGGAGGCAGCAGUGGGGAAUAUUGGACAAUGGGCGAAAGCCUGAUGCAGCGACGCCGCGUGGGGUAUGAAGGCUUUCGGGUUGUAAACCUCUUUCGCUAUCGAACGGGUAGGUGGAGAAGAAGCGCCGGCUAACUACGUGCCAGCAGCCGCGGUAAUAC
rnacentral:rRNA from 1 species